rnacentral:rRNA from 1 species
UGGGGAAUUUUGGACAAUGGGGGAAACCCUGAUCCAGCCAUCCCGCGUGUGCGAUGAAGGCCUUCGGGUUGUAAAGCACUUUUGGCAGGAAAGAAACGUCGCGGGUUAAUACCCCGCGAAACUGACGGUACCUGCAGAAUAAGCACCGGCUAACUACGUGCCAGCAGCCGCGGUAAUACGUAGGGUGCAAGCGUUAAUCGGAAUUACUGGGCGUAAAGCGUGCGCAGGCGGUUCGGAAAGAAAGAUGUGAAAUCCCAGAGCUUAACUUUGGAACUGCAUUUUUAACUACCGGGCUAGAGUGUGUCAGAGGGAGGUGGAAUUCCGCGUGUAGCAGUGAAAUGCGUAGAUAUGCGGAGGAACACCGAUGGCGAAGGCAGCCUCCUGGGAUAACACUGACGCUCAUGCACGAAAGCGUGGGGAGCAAAACAGGAUUAGAUACCCUGGUAGUCCACGCCCUAAACGAUGUCAACUAGCUGUUGGGGCCUUCGGGCCUUGGUAGCGCAGCUAACGCGUGAAGUUGACCGCCUGGGGAGUACGGUCGCAAGAUUAAAACUCAAAGGAAUUGACGGGGUCAUAGC